rnacentral:lncRNA from 1 species
AAAUAAGAGUAGUUGCCUGAUUUUUUUUAGGAGAAUAUAAUUCAUACAAUAGGAAAAGAUAUAGUGACUGUGUUUGAAACAUAGUAAAAAUGAUGAUGUUGAGAUCAACAAACAUCACAAUGGAAUUGAUUAAAUUAUAUAGAAUAAAACUUAUCUUCUUCUUGUUGCAUUUUUGGCAAUCAAACAGAGUAUUUCUCUUUUGAUUUUGCCAUCCAUGUACCAGAGAUAUAUUUGGCCAAAUACUUGAAGAAGGAAUGAAGAAUGUUGAAAAUGUAUGAUUUUCUCUUAUGUUUUUUCCUCCAACUUAAACUGCAAUCUUACUUGCUAUUGUUAACUUGAGUGUUCUUAUGUAGGCCAUUCUGUCUGGAUGUUCA